rnacentral:rRNA from 1 species
UACGGAGGGUGCAAGCGUUAUCCGGAUUCACUGGGUUUAAAGGGAGCGCAGGCGGAUUUGUAAGUCAGUGGUGAAAGGCUUAAGCUUAACUUGGGAACUGCCAUUGAUACUAUAAGUCUUGAAUGUUGUUGAGGUUUGCGGAAUGGGUCAUGUAGCGGUGAAAUGCAUAGGUAUGACCCGGAACACCUAUUGCGAAGGCAGCAGGCUAAACAAAUAUUGACGCUGAGGCUCGAAAGCGUGGGGAUCAAACAGG